AUGAAGAUAUACUAUGCCAAGGAGCUAAAAAAGGCCCUUGCAAGAUCCGUCAACGAAAAGGUACCUGAGUCUGAUGCAAUUCAGGAGAAGCUGAUGCCUGAAAAGUACACCAUAGCAAACGUCCAAGUGAUUCUCCUGACCAUGGCGGGGUACCCAGGAGAAUGCACAGGACCAGGACCAUGUGGAUUGCAUCAUCUGGUUUAUGAAAUACUGAAUAAUGUUGUUGAUGAAGCUCAAGCAGGCUAUGCUACUAAGAUUAAUGCAGUCCUUCAUGAUGACAAUUCCGUUAGUGUAACUGACAACUGCCGUGGGGAAGAAGGUGGAUUGGUGUCCAUUUCCUCCAAAGUGUUCAUCUUGGCUACUUCUUUACUUCUGAGCAAAUUAAAUGGUGGAGUAUGGCCACUACCAGCUACAUGGUAA
rnacentral:rRNA from 1 species